CAAACUUCUGGCUGUCUUGUUGAGUGUGUGAAUAAAGGUUGAAAGCCCAGUGAUAACACAUGGGGAAUUCAACAAACUUCUGGCUGUCUUGUUGAGUGUGUGAAUAAAGGUUGAAAGCCCAGUGAUAACACAUGGGGAAUUCAACAAACUUCUGGCUGUCUUGUUGAGUGUGUGAAUAAAGGUUGAAAUCCCAGUGAUAACACAUGGGGAAUUCAACAAACUUCUGGCUGUCUUGUUGAGUGUGUGAAUAAAGGUUGAAAGCCCAGUGAUAACACAUGGGGAAUUCAACAAACUUCUGGCUGUCUUGUUGAGUGUGUGAAUAAAGGUUGAAAUCCCAGUGAUAACACAUGGGGAAUUCAACAAACUUCUGGCUGUCUUGUUGAGUGUGUGAAUAAAGGUUGAAAUCCCAGUGAUAACACAUGGGGAAUUCAACAAACUUCUGGCUGUCUUGUUGAGUGUGUGAAUAAAGGUUGGAAGCCCAUUGAUAACACAUGGGGAAUUCAACAAACUUCUGGCUGUCUUGUUGAGUGUGUGAAUAAAGGUUGAAAGCCCAGUGAUAACACAUGGGGAAUUCAACAAACUUCUGGCUGUCUUGUUGAGUGUGUGAAUAAAGGUUGAAAGCCCAGUGAUAACACAUGGGGAAUUCAACAAACUUCUGGCUGUCUUGUUGAGUGUGUGAAUAAAGGUUGAAAGCCCAGUGAUAACACAUGGGGAAUUCAACAAACUUCUGGCUGUCUUGUUGAGUGUGUGAAUAAAGGUUGAAAGCCCAGUGAUAACACAUGGGGAAUUCAACAAACUUCUGGCUGUCUUGUUGAGUGUGUGAAUAAAGGUUGAAAGCCCAGUGAUAACACAUGGGGAAUUCAACAAACUUCUGGCUGUCUUGUUGAGUGUGUGAAUAAAGGUUGAAAGCCCAGUGAUAACACAUGGGGAAUUCAACAAACUUCUGGCUGUCUUGUUGAGUGUGCGAAUAAAGGUUGAAAUCGCAUUGAUCAAUGUCUCAACCAAAUACUACCCACAUUUCCCAGUUGAAAUGACGUGGUGUGCCCAGUGGGUCUCUCUCUCUUUAUCUCUCUCUCUCUAACAACAUAACGAGGGAGAGUCGGGUUCACGAGGUGUUGUUCCUGGAAAUAGAUGUUCAUCAGGUUUUGUUAAGGGUUCUUUGGUUGUCCUAGAAAGUUGCUUGGUUUUCUGAGAAAACUAAACACCUUCUAGGGGUUACUGAGUGUGUUUUGUUUUACAGAGAGUGUCUUCUCCGCUCUGUGUCUGUUUGUGGGUAAUUCUAAUGAACAGAUACAAUGUUGCCAUGACAAUCCUGCUAAUCAACAGUGUCUACUGUAAUUAUACUUCAUUAGAAUAAGAAUAGUUAUUCAGACGGCAGAUUGUUGCAGGAGCACACAUAGGAUGUGCCCAAAUGACACCCGACUUCCUGCAUAGUGCACUUCUUUAGACAGGAGGCCUAUGGGCCCUGGUUAAAUGUAAUGUACUAUAUAGGGAAUAGGGUGCUAUUUGGUAAGCACACAUACACUCAGCAUUUGUUUGCUGGGAAGAGAGACUGAGGUUGUCACAUUCAGCAAUCAGGUCUGUGUUUCCCUCUUCUGGUGCAGUCAUCACACUCAUCAAACACAUUUAAAAGUCUGUGAUUAAAACCUUUUCCUGGAAUCUAAUCCCAUCCUCCUGUGUGUCAGAGUUCAUUAGUAACAGCAAUGAGGGAAAUUAACUUGACUGUGUGACACUGUGUAUUGUGUGUGUGUCACGCCUUGGUCUUAGUAUUCUGUGUUUUCUUUCUUUAUUUGGUCAGGCCAGGGUGUGACAUGGGUUUAUUUUGUGGUGUGUUUUUGUAUUGGGGUUUUAGUAGGUAUUGGGAUUGUGGCUGAGUAGGGUUGUCUAGGAAAGUCUAUGGUUGCCUGAGGCGGUUCUUAAUCAGAGGCAGGUAAUUUUCGUUGUCUCUGAUUGGGAACCAUAUUUAGGCAGCCAUAUUCUUUGAGUGUGUCGUGGGUGAUUGUUCCUGUCUCUGUGUUAGUGUUCACCAGAUAGGCUGUAUAGGUUUUCACGUUCUUUUUGUUGUUUUUGUUUGUUUGUGUUUUCAUUAUUAAAGAUGUAUCGAACUAACCACGCUG